rnacentral:snoRNA from 1 species
UCUUAAUGUGGAUGCCACAGUCAUAAGAUAGUUGUGAAUCCUCCCAGCAUCAUGUCUUCAGUGCCCAUGGCUUCCUGUCCGCCCGUUCUAUCCUCAAACACCAGGACACGG